rnacentral:rRNA from 1 species
CCUAUCUGCCGUGGGCGUUGGAUGAUUGAGGGGAGUUGCUCCUAGUACGAGAGGACCGGAGUGAACGAACCGCUGGUGUUCGGGUUGUCAUGCCAAUGGCAUUGCCCGGUAGCUAUGUUCGGAAUCGAUAACCGCUGAAAGCAUCUAAGCGGGAAGCGAGCCCCAAGAUGAGUCAUCCCUUGGACUAUAAGUCCACUAAAGAGCCGUUCGAGACUAGGACGUUGAUAGGUCAGGUGUGUAAGCGUUGUGAGGCGUUGAGCUAACUGAUACUAAUGACUCGAGAGGCUUAACCAUACAACCCAGAUGGGUUUUG